rnacentral:misc_RNA from 1 species
GAAGAGAGAAUGAAAGAGAAGUAGUAUUUGAAAAAUGGUGGAAAAAUUUUUAGAAAUUAAGAUGUAAUUUUUUAGAUUUAAUUAUUUUGAGUUUUGGUAUGAAAAGUUAAAAAUGGGCGUUUUGGGUUUUAUUUUUAGAGAUUUUAAUUUAUUAAAUGUUUAUUGUUGAUAUUGUAAAUAUUUAUAAUUUUUAGAAUUUUUUGAUAAACUUAGAAUUU